CGGUUGUUAACUUAGUAGGCGAACGGGUGAGUAACGACGUGAACAACCUGACCCAAAGAGGGGGAUAACAUUUGGAAACAGAUGCUAAUACCGCAUAAGACCACAACGUCACAUGGCGAAGGGGUCAAAGGAGCAAUCCGCUUUGGGAGGGGUUCGCGUCCCAUUAGGUAGAUGGCGGGGUAACGGCCCACCGAUGCCAACGAUGGGUAGCCGAGCUGAGAGGCUGAUCGGCCACACUGGAACUGAGACACGGUCCAGACUCCUACGGGAGGCAGCAGUGGGGAAUAUUGGGCAAUGGGCGCAAGCCUGACCCAAGCAACGCCGCGUGAGGGAAGAAGGUUUUCGGAUUGUAAACCUCUGUCGCAGAAGACGAAGGAAGUGACGGUAUUCUGUGAGGAAGCCCCGGCUAACUACGUGCCAGCAGCAGC
rnacentral:rRNA from 1 species